rnacentral:rRNA from 1 species
AUGCAGUCGAGCGCAUGAACCUAUCUGAUCCCUUCGGGGUGACGAUAGGGGAUUGAGCGGCGGACGGGUGAGUAACACGUGGGUAACCUACCUUCGAGAUCGGGAUAACUCCGGGAAACCGGGGCUAAUACCGAAUAAUCUGUUGGACCGCAUGGUCCGACAGUAAAAGGCGGCUUCUGCCGUCACUCGAAGAUGGACCCGCGGCGCAUUAGCUAGUUGGUAAGGUAACGGCUUACCAAGGCGACGAUGCGUAGCCGACCUGAGAGGGUGAUCGGCCACACUGGGACUGAGACACGGCCCAGACUCCUACGGGAGGCAGCAGUAGGGAAUCUUCCGCAAUGGACGAAAGUCUGACGGAGCAACGCCGCGUGAACGAUGAAGGUCUUCGGAUCGUAAAGUUCUGUUGUUAGGGAAGAACAAGUACCAGAGGAAAUGCUGGUACCUUGACGGUACCUAACCAGAAAGCCCCGGCUAACUACGUGCCAGCAGCCGCGGUAAUACGUAGGGGGCAAGCGUUGUCCGGAAUUAUUGGGCGUAAAGCGCGCGCAGGCGGUUCCUUAAGUCUGAUGUGAAAGCCCACAGCUCAACUGUGGAGGGCCAUUGGAAACUGGGGAACUUGAGUACAGAAGAGGAGAGUGGAAUUCCACGUGUAGCGGUGAAAUGCGUAGAUAUGUGGAGGAACACCAGUGGCGAAGGCGACUCUCUGGUCUGUAACUG